UACGGAGGGGGCUAGCGUUGUUCGGAAUUACUGGGCGUAAAGCGCACGUAGGCGGCUUUGUAAGUUAGAGGUGAAAGCCCGGGGCUCAACUCCGGAAUUGCCUUUAAGACUGCAUCGCUAGAAUUGUGGAGAGGUAAGUGGAAUUCCGAGUGUAGAGGUGAAAUUCGUAGAUAUUCGGAAGAACACCAGUGGCGAAGGCGAGUCCCUGGACGACUCCUGACACUGAGGCACGAAAGCUAGGGGAGCAAACAGG
rnacentral:rRNA from 1 species